rnacentral:lncRNA from 1 species
AAAAGUUACAGAAAAAGAAACCGGUUCACACGCCCCAGUAUCACCUUUAUCUGACUUAAGGGCACUUGGGGGAAUCGACAAAGUAACUCACAAUGGACCUGUGAAUCACACACAUUGCCCUUAGAUAUUGCUCGGAGAAGGGCAUCCAUAUCAACCACGAAUCCACUGAAGCAAUCAUGCCCAUUUUAGCAUUUUUGAGUUGCUUCUACGAUUUCACUUCAAGGAAAAAUAGAACCCCACUUUUUACCAUUCAGGCACCACCGUCCGAUUGGUGGGCUUGAAAUGGUCCCUUUGUCACCUCACCCCAGCACAUGCUUCCAAAUGGGAUCUGCCCAAUAUCCAAGUUCUGGAAAGGUCCACUCAAAGAUCUCAUGAGCCCUUGCUUCUUUAUUCUGAAUACUUGUGAAAGAAAACCAUGUUCUCAACAAUCAAGAUCUUCUUCUCUCACUAAUACCAUAUAAGCUAAAAAGCAAGUCAAUUACUAAAUUCAUGAUUAUCUUUUUAACCCAGCUUUGGCUAUCUUGAAUCACAUUUCUGGAUUCUGGUAAUCAUUAGAAUUCUGGGGUUAGUAAGAUUUUGUGAUGAGAGUGUUAAUCAUUGAUUUGGUUCUUCAUUCCACACCUAAAACCCCCUGACAGCACUUGGAACAUAACUUGAUGGUUAGGUUUGGUGAAAGGUAUGUUUAGGUCUUUGCCCCUGAGAUUUGGAGCCUGUUAUCUCAAACAGUCUUCUGCCAAGGAGCCUGUUAUCGCAACUUUCUGGUAAGCCAUCUCUUUCAAAAUUGAAGCAAUCAUAAUACCCAUGUUGCUAGUGGAUCUGUCUUCAAAGGUCCCAUGCUUGAUGUUUGAUUUAUCUCAUCGUUUUCUUGCCCUGGAAGCUACAAAAACUAAAGCAAUUCCAUCAACAUUACAACAAUUAUAUUAAGUCAAAACAAAACUCACGAGCAAUCUAACUUAAAUUUCGUGCUUUGACAGCAUGCUCAUUGGAUCGCACUUGGGAAUACAAAACAAAAGAAGUUAAAAAGAUCCUAGUCAUGUUUUGCAUGCCACGAUCUAUGCAAAGCAUAGGAAGCAAUAUAUCGGGAUGGUUGGAAGGGCUAAAUCGCCAUGAUUUCUGGGCUUAAGCACAUGUUGUGAUGUUCCAUUUCUAUUGACUGGUCGCGAUUCAUGAUCUCCCUGGCGAUAUGCUUAGAUAGCUAGUUGGAAAGCCAAACCAAUUAGCUUUGUACCGGUGGCUCCACACCCUGUAGCGGUCUUUAUUGUGUUUGUUCAAAUAGUAAGGGCCCCCUCAGCCCCAGGACUAGGAUUAGGAUUAAAUUGUUGUGGGAGAGAGUCAUUAUCAACACGAAGAUGGAUCCUUUUAUUUAAUGAAUCACAUCAGGGUCAUCACUAGUAGAUUCUCAAAUCUGGGUUAUUUGAAAUUAGAUUAAGAUGUGAUUAGAAGUUUUAUCUUAAGUCAUUAACAUAUAAGCAACAAUCCAACAAGCUCAGGUAAUGAAAAAUUUUCUGCCAAAUGCAUCCCACUGCUGGAAACUCUCUCAAGUAUUGAAUAAUUGGAAUGAUUGUGAACAUAUAUAAUUGGGAGAUUCCCACUAGGAAAUGAGAGACACCAGGAUCCAAAUGUCUCCAUCAGCCAGUUUCCAUUAGCUUUCCUCUCAUCCUGUUUCUUUACCCUAUUUUAGCUCAUUAUUGGGUCGUUUUGUCUUUUGUUUUUGAGUAGAUGAACAUGAAAUAUUUGUUAUCUGUACCUUUCUCUUGGAAGCAAAGGUAUUUUGUAAUUGUGAAUCUGUUUGGAAUUUCC